AUCUUAAUUACUUAUUAAGUAAAAUAUACAUAAAUUUUUUCAAAGUGUGGGGGUUUUAAAUACACUUUUGCUCCUAUUUAAAAUAGGAUCAAUAACAAAUGUACUGAUGAUCACCAAUUCGACCAAUUCGAAUUGGUGACCUUAAGUACAAUAAUGAUCCUUCCGCAGGUUCACCUACGGAAA
rnacentral:misc_RNA from 1 species